rnacentral:rRNA from 1 species
GAUGAACGCUGGCGGCGUGCUUAACACAUGCAAGUCGAACGAUGAAGCCCAGCUUGCUGGGUGGAUUAGUGGCGAACGGGUGAGUAACACGUGAGUAACCUGCCCUUGACUCUGGGAUAAGCGCUGGAAACGGCGUCUAAUACCGGAUACGAGCUUCCACCGCAUGGUGAGUUGCUGGAAAGAAUUUCGGUCAAGGAUGGACUCGCGGCCUAUCAGGUAGUUGGUGAGGUAACGGCUCACCAAGCCGCCGACGGGUAGCCGGCCUGAGAGGGUGACCGGCCACACUGGGACUGAGACACGGCCCAGACUCCUACGGGAGGCAGCAGUGGGGAAUAUUGCACAAUGGGCGCAAGCCUGAUGCAGCAACGCCGCGUGAGGGACGAAGGCCUUCGGGUCGUAAACCUCUUUUAGCAGGGAAGAAGCGAAAGUGACGGUACCUGCAGAAAAAGCACCGGCUAACUACGUG